rnacentral:rRNA from 1 species
CCUACGGGUGGCAGCAGUGGGGAAUAUUGCGCAAUGGGCGAAAGCCUGACGCAGCGACGCCGCGUGAGGGAUGAAGGUCUUCGGAUCGGAAACCUCUGUCAGCAGGGAAGAACGGUCACUGUGCUAAUCAGCAGUGAAUUGACGGUACCAGCAAAGGAAGCACCGGCUAACUCCGUGCCAGCAGCCGCGGUAAUACGGAGGGUGCGAGCGUUAAUCGGAAUUACUGGGUGUAAAGCGCGCGUAGGCGGUUUGUCAAGUCAAUGGUGAAAUCCCCUGGCUCAACGUUGGAACUGCCUUUGAAACUGGCAAUCUGGAGUGUGGGAGAGGAUAGUGGAAUUCCAGGUGUAGGGGUGAAAUGCGUAGAUAUCUGGAGGAACAUCAGUGGCGAAGGCGACUAUCUGGCACAUAACUGACGCUGAGGAGCGAAAGCGUGGGUAGCAAACAGGAUUAGAUACCCUAGUAGUC